rnacentral:piRNA from 1 species
UGAGAUCUUUGUAUUCUUCAU